GACUACCGGGGUAUCUAAGCCUGUUUGCUCCCCACGCUUUCGCGUCUCAGCGUCAGUACAAGUCCAGCAAGUCGCCUUCGCCACUGGUGUUCCUGCGAAUAUCUACGAAUUUCACCUCUACACUCGCAAUUCCACUUGCCUCUACUUGAGUCCAGGCUGGAAGUUUUGGAGGCAGUUCCGAGGUUGAGCCUCGGGAUUUCACCCCCAACUUUCCAGCCCGCCUACACGCGCUUUACGCCCAGUAAAUCCGAACAACGCUAGCCCCCUUCGUAUUACCGCGGCUGCUGGCACGAAGUUAGCCGGAGCUUCUUCUUGGGGUACCGUCAUUAUCGUCCCCCACGAAAGAGUUUUACAACCCUAGGGCCUUCAUCACUCACGCGGCAUGGCUGGAUCAGGCUUGCGCCCAUUGUCCAAGAUUCCCCACUGCAGCCACCCGUAGG
rnacentral:rRNA from 1 species